UACAACAAGCAUGCAUACACAUGCAUACGUAUCACACACAGAGUCAUGUUUGGAGGGCUUUUUUUCCCAGCCUUCCUUCUAUCCAGAUGAGGGACCAGUGUCGGAAACUCACUGCUGGUAUCUGGUUUCAUAAACCCAGUCUCAUUCCCUCGUGUUAGAAGUCGCACACAUCACAGACCGACUCCAAUUCAAAGGCAGCCUGCAAACUUAAGACACUCAAGUAAUAAUCCCGUAAUCAGAGAAAGUUGCUCUUUUGAUUGAACAAACCUAUGUUUUUAGCUCAAGAUGUAUGUGUUGCCUCUUCCAGAGUCGCUCCAGCCAGUCUCUGGUUAUCACAGCCACAGAGAGACAGCUGAUCAGUCUUCAGUGUGGGGUAAAAGCAGCGGCAUUUUCAAGAUUUCUGGUUUCACCCUUUUAACCCAAAGACUAGCUAUAAAUAGACGCGAAGUCUGGGGUUUCCAUGGCUGAGUGCUGCUAUAAAUAGCUUUAGACAUUUUCCCACUUCAUGCUUUCUAAAAGAACAUUCUCUACUUCCCUUCUUGGAUAACCUUUGGGAAUAGAGCAAGACCACAUUCAGAAGUUUAUUACGGGACCCUGACAGAAUGGCUAAUGAGCCUUCCAGCAACCGCCACUGUGGGGGUGUGAAGAAAUGCAUUGCCUUCAUCUCCCUCACAACACCUCCUAGAGAAAGAGGUGCUGGCCCAGCUACCGGGAGUUCAAAAAGUCUGUCUUCUGCAUUGAGAAUGCGCAUGGGACCUUCUUGUAAGGACCUCGGUGCUGAGCUUCCUGCCCCUGGUCUCAUCAUGGUUACAGGACCUGAAGGACAUAGAAUUUGAUGCACAUAGAAUGCUGGGAAGAUAGGAAGUUGGUUUUUGUUUUGUUUGUUUGCUUGUUUGUUUGCUUGCUUGCUUGCUUUUUGAGGGGUGAGCUUCAGGGGACUGGCUAGCUUUCAUGCUUUUGUUUUUGCAUUUUUCUUUUUGAGAAAAAAACUUCAGAUCCUUUUUUUCUGAUAUUAUGCAAUUGGUUGUUUGGAUCUGACCUUUCUUAUUCUCUUCCAUUUUUCCCAUGGUCCUUUGCUUCUGUGGUCUCUUCUGUGGUUCCAGUUGUUGAGCCUCUGGUUGAGGUUAAGUCAGGGUUAUGUUUUCCUCAAUUUGUUAAGUUCUGAGCUUGGCACUUCUCAAAUAACGUUUCUGUGCUCAGCUAUCUCUCUACUCCUGUACUGAUGUACAAGCCCUGUUGGCUUUGCCUCAAGACCAUUAAAUUCCCUUUUUUCUCUGCACUUCCAUGUUGGAUAAAUUCUAGACCUUUUCCUAGGGUCUCUCUGGCAUUCCCAUCUGCGGCUGAGCCAACCGGUAAACUUAGCUUUCCCAGGGUAUGCUGUGUCUUUCAAUCCUGGGAUAAUUACGUUCCUCUUUUUCAGCUUUCUGUUCUCUGGUGAAGUCUAUUCCUAGGGCUGAGGAUGUGUGUAGCUCGGUGGUAGAGGAGCUGCCUGGCGUAUGUGAUAAACCCAGUUUUAUGCCCUGUGUCACAAAACAAAAUGGAAUAUAAUCGCAUCUCUUCCUUUCUUUCAGAUGUGGUUAUAGCAGAUGUCUUAGACUGUCGGCUAACAUCAGCAUCUGAACCAUCUCAUGCUUGCCAUGUACAACUAUCAUGUUGUUUGUUUCAUCAGGUGAUUCUGCACUGUAGCUUGGGAAAAUUGAGCCUCACCUUAUGAGACUCUUGGAGCUGUGACAUAAAGCUGCCUGUGGUUUGUUUCUCCAGACUGAGAUUGCCACCUCUACGGGCCACUCGUCCAGUUUUCCAAAUAUUUUCUAUCCUCCUCUGGGCCUAUUCUGUGCUUUCCAACUCCAGAUGAUCAUUUUCUAGGGGAUAUAGAGGCACAAUAAGAGGGGCCCUUCCCUCUGAAAUCUCCCACAUUGCUGAUUCCCAAGACUCUUUCCAGGGUCCUUUGGUCAAUAACAAUAAUUUUCCAUUGGAGUUUUGGCUUUCUGUGUCUCUGCUGCAGUUGUGUAGAUCUUCUAGUUGGGGUGGUUAGGAGAGGAGAAAAUGGAAGGGGGGAAAAGGAAGAGUCAAGGAGGAGAGGAAAAGAGAAGAAAAGGAACA